AGGGUUAUAUCCUGUGUUGUGACCUCAUGGUUUAAGUGGGAAUAAAGAUGAGUAUAAGCAGUGAUGAGGUCAACUUCUUGGUAUAUAGAUACUUGCAAGAGUCAGGAUUUUCUCAUUCAGCAUUUACCUUUGGUAUAGAAAGCCAUAUCAGUCAGUCCAAUAUAAACGGUGCCCUCGUCCCACCUGCUGCAUUGAUUUCUAUCAUUCAGAAAGGUCUACAGUAUGUAGAGGCAGAAGUUAGUAUCAAUGAGGUUGGUACCUUGUUGGACGGUUGACCAAUAGAGUCUCUGUCCCUGAUAGAUGCCUGAUGCCUGAUGUAGUACAAACACGACAGCAAGCGUACAGAGAUAAGCUGGCCCAGCAACAGGCCGGAGUUGCAGCUGCCGCUGCCACCACCACAAACCAGCAGGGAUCUGCAAAAAAUGGAGAAAACACAGCCAACGGGGAGGAGAAUGGAGCGCAUGCUACAGCAAAUAAUCACACUGAUAUGAUGGAAGUGGAUGGGGAUGUUGAAAUCCCUAACAAAGCAGUCGUGUUGCGGGGCCACGAAUCUGAAGUUUUCAUCUGUGCCCGGAACCCUGCUAGUGAUCUGGCAUCGGGGUCUGGAGACUCAAACAGCAAGAAUAUGGAAUCUUAGUGAAAAUAGCACUAGCGGCUCCACACAGUUAGUACUUAGACAUUGUAUACAAGAAGGAGGACGAGAUGUUCCAAGCAACAAGGAUGUCACAUCUCUCGAUUGGAAUAGUGAAGGUACACUUCUAGCAACGGGCUCAUAUGAUGGAUUUGCCAGAAUAUGGACUAAAAAUGGGAACCUUGCUAGCACCUUGAGACAGCAUAAAGGCCCUAUAUUUGCAUUGAAGUGGAAUAAGAAAGGAAAUUUUAUUCUAAGUGCUGGAGUAGAUAAGACUACAAUUAUUUGGGAUGCACACACUGGAGAAGCCAAGCAACAAUUUCUGUUUCAUUCAGCACCAGCAUUGGAUGUUGACUGGCAGAGCAACAACACCUUUGCUUCUUGUAGUACAGAUAUGUGCAUUCAUAUCUGUAAAUUAGGACAAGACAGACCUAUUAAAAUAUUCCAAGGACAUACGAAUGAAGUAAAUGCUAUCAAAUGGGACCCAACUGGCAACCUCCUGGCCUCCUGUUCUGAUGACAUGACUCUGAAGAUAUGGAAUAUGAAACAAGACAAUUCUGUUCAUGAUUUGCAAGCACAUAAUAAAGAAAUUUAUGCUAUCAAAUGGAGUCCAACAGGACCAGGAACAAAUAAUCCAAAUGCCAACCUCAUGUUAGCAAGUGCAUCCUUUGAUUCUACUGUUAGGUUAUGGGAUGUAGACCGAGGGAUUUGCAUCCAUACUUUGACAAAACACCAAGAACCUGUGUACAGUGUAGCUUUCAGUCCUGAUGACAGGUAUCUGGCAAGUGGUUCUUUUGACAAAUGUGUGCACAUCUGGAACACACAGACAGGUGCUCUAGUUCACAGUUAUAGGGGAACAGGUGGAAUUUUUGAAGUUUGCUGGAAUGCAACAGGAGACAAAGUUGGAGCCAGUGCAUUAGAUGGUUCAGUUUGUGUAUUAGACCUUUGGAAAUAGCGCUAAUAGUUGGAAGCUGUGGACCGACUAUGAAUGUGUACAUAGCCAAAAUGACUGUCCCUGACCCAUGUACUGCUAUAGUCCCACUAAAAUCUAAAAGAAAUAUAUACAUACAGUGUAUAUAAACAAAAUUGCACCCUGAAGAUGACAGAGUUUUGUCACAGCUUGUGAAUUCUGUUCACCAAGUGCUGGAAUCUAAUCUGCUGUGCCCCUAAAAAUAGCAUUUAGAAGUUUUGGAUAUGAAAAACAGAAGAAAGAAAAAUAUACAUUAUUAAAGCAGACCAUACAUGUACCAGUUUUUGGAUACUAAUGACAACCUUGUUUUUCCUCUUUGAAUCAGCAGACACCAUGGAUUAUAUUCUUUUUUCCCUUUGGUAGUGAGCAGUUUGUAUGUACAGAGAAAAUGGAUGUUAAAAACUUGAAGCAGUAGUUUGUUCUUGCUUUUACAGUUUGGUUUUGGUUUAGAUUAUGGAUGCAUGAAGUAAGGGAGUGAAUCAGUUUCUUGUUUAUAUUUUUUCACCUUUUAAGCAACAAAAAAAUUCUUAAAAAUACUUUAAUGCAUUCUUUUGAAGAGGUAGAUGUUUGGUACAUUUUAUGGCUCCCAGAGCAUUUAUUCAAUUGGUGCAUGUUGUAGAAGCGGGAAUUGGAAAUUAAAUGAAAACAUAUGACUUUGGUCAUGUCAAUCCAUAAGACACAUCAGUAAAAGGGUAUUAUGCUCUGUUUUUGUUUUGUUUCUUGUUUUGUUUUGUUUUUUUUCUUUUUGGUUAUGUGGCUUAAAUGCAAUAGUUUCUUUUUUGGGACAUAUUUCUGCCAAUUAAAGACUAGAAGGGCACAAAAUGUUUGUUAAAAAAAAUACCAUAGAGAAGAUAACAUUAAAAAAAAAAUCUUCUGAUGUUUUGUAGCCAUAGCUAAAUUAUGGUAAAAAUGUGCACUAUUGUGAAGGAGCAAAGUAGUUUUGGGUUUUUGUUGUUUGUUUGUUUUGCUUUGUUUUUAGAGAGAUUAAAAUGUUUCUGGAUAAGGA